CUUCUUCUUCGUCCUCUUCUUCUUUU
rnacentral:sRNA from 1 species